rnacentral:lncRNA from 1 species
UUAAAUCCACACAACACAAGCCACGGGGAGCUGAAUGGGAGAGAAACAAGUUCUUACUUUAAAAGGAAUCAAAGUGAUAAAUUACUUGUCCCGCAUUUAACAUUCUUGAAUCACAAAACCUACAUAUAAAUUGCCCCAUAUCUUAGAAACAUGACUAACCUCAACAAACCAUUGAUUCAGGACUCACAGCAUUCAUUCGCAGCUAAAACUUCACUAGCAGUCAACCUGCAUUUCCAAUCCUAUAUCAAACAAAGAUUUAGCAGAGAUACAUUUGUAUCCUGACAACACAAUUUCUUAAUUACUUUUAUAUCACAGAUUUACGGCAUAGGUUAAUAGAUGGCAGCUUUUGAAUAUCCCAACCAAGCACCUUGCAAAUGACUACCCAGCAGCAUGUUUUUUUGUUUUCCAGUUGUGUUAACCGUAAAAUGUUAAAUUUAACAGAAUGAGGUACUAUUCAAUACAAAGAUAAUGUUAGUGACUAAAAAAGGGCACGCUUAAGUUUACCACCGGUAAGCUUGGAAACAAGUAUAAUAGUUGAGUGAUAAAAAAUUGAUUUUCCUUACAAAUAUAAACUAUUUUUUAGAAAUUAAGCCUUGAUUUAUAGACUUUCUGGGUCUCUCAACAAGCCAUUGUUUCUGCGAGUAAACUCAAACAUAUUUUUGUUGUGUCCUGAACCUGAAACUAUGCAUGCUUGUUUGUAUAGGCGGUCUCUGGAUGAAUGAGGACACUUUUGUGGAAAAUUUACCAACGUAUCCGCUAUUUUCACAGAUUUUUUUUCCUGUCUCUGUUUUUAAAUACUUCACAUUCUAAGAGUUUUGACCGCAUACUUAAAAUUUUUUAUUUUAAUUUUUUUAAAUAAAAAUUUAUACUUUAAUACCAAAAAAAAUAAAAAUAUUAACUCUGGUUAUGUAUUCAAUGCACUUAAAAAUACUAUGUGCCCAAAGUCAAAGGUCAAGUAUUUAAAAACAUAGUGAGUAUAUUAGAGUUGAGAUUUGAAGACAUGUCUUAAUAUUAAUUUUAAAAUCAUCGAUCUACAUAUUAAUCCAGUUAAAUCCCCACAGUUUACUAUAUUUCUACUUUUUUAUAUUUUUUUGUCAAUUUUAUUUUAAAACUUUGUUAGUAAGACUUAAAUAAUAUAUCUCCUUUGUACGGUUAAUAGUAAAUUCAUUAAACUUUAAAAAUUAUAACUGCACUCAUUAUAAAACCAAGUUGAACAGAACUUACAUGAAUAUUGACUAGAUCUUCAAGCUUAUGUUUCCAUGUUACAACUUGUGUUUUUGACAAAUCACUAAAAUGUAACUAAACUACAAACUAUUACACAUGAUCAGCUAUUCUAAGACAUAUCAAGCUUCGUCUAGCAUCUUCGUUUCCUCUGCAGUGCCAUCAAUCUCUUCCUCUUCCACAUCUUCCGCAUCAUUUGGCCUUAUGUUCAUAUUUGCAAUGAUCAACCGACAUUUCUCGGCCAAUCUUCUCGGCUAUUUUUUUGUAGUUUUUCCAUAUAUCAGAUACUCUAAAAUAUUUUUAUUCUUAUUUAAUUUGGUCGGUUACUUUUCUGUAACUCUCCUGCCCAUUGUUAUAUAUAGCUUAUAGCCAGAAUUACUUUACAUCCAACACAACUCAGGAUUUCAGCCAUUUCAGUUUUCAAAACCACAAUCCAGAGAUUUUUCGGUGAGAAAUUCAGAGAAGAAACCAAGAUGACUACGGAAAUGUGGACGAGUUUUGGGUCUCUGCUCGCCAGCCUCAUGUUCAUAUUUGCCAUGAUCAACCAACACUUCUCGGGCAAUCUUCUCGGCUAUUUUCUGUAGCCGCUCAUCCAGAAAUCUUUGUCGUAUUUCAACCCGUACAUCGAGAUCACGUUCCAUGAGUAUUCCCGGGACAGCUUCGAUCGAAGCUUGGCUUACGUCUCGAUUGAGCGUUAUCUGGCUGUCAAGUCUUCGGCGACAGCCACGAGACUCAAGGCCAACUCGGUCCGAGACAGCGAACGCCUGGUGCUCAGUAUGGACGACUACGAAGAGAUCGUGGACGAAUAUCAAGGGAUCAACUUCCUCAUAGCCGCCGCCACCACCGCCCUUCUUCCCCUUCUUUUUCAUAUUUUUCGGUUUCGUCCCCUGAACACCAAGUGAGAGCCUAAUCAGCUUACUAUUCAAAUUACCAUGUCUCACACUCUCCGCGUUACUUUGUAAAUAUGGUUGCACAUUCGACACACGACCCGAAUAACCAGAACCAUUUGAAUCACAAUCCUCGAUGGAACCAUGAGACCUAUGAUCAUGGUUCAAGAUAGGAAUUGAUGGGUCAUUGUUCGGGUAAAGUGAACCGGGUCUGGGGUUGAAACCGGGUCUAUUGUUGAAACUAUUAGGGUUUGCAAUUGAACAAAUUGGGUGAACUGAAGGGGAGUUUGAAUUGAAAAUGGGGGGCUGGGGGAGACAAUUAGUGUUUAAAACAUGAUGAACUAGGUAAAUUGAAUGGGGAUUAGGAUUGAAAAUUGGGCGAUUGGGGAUGAAACUAGGGUUUAUAAUUUGGGGAUUUGGGUUUUGAGUAGGGUGUUGAAGAGGAGGGUCUUGACGAGGGAGAGAAUGGAGGUGCCUCAUGUCAUGAUUUAGAAGAUGAAGAUUAGUUGUUUUCUUCGAUAAGCUUAAGUUUUUUGAUUGAUUUUUUCUGAAACUGUGCAUGCUUGUUUAUAUAGGUGGCGAGGGAGAUGAACCUGGACAGUUUUAGAAAUUACAUUUAAUAUGAUAUGAUAUCUUCGAGAUUUUUGGCUCAAGAUAUUAUAUUCGAUUCAGAUUUUAUAUAAAAUCUUGGAGAUAUUAGUAGUCUCUUUGUUUAAAUUUAUGGGGGUGUAUUCGAUUGGGAUUUUAAUGGAUUGUUUUUAGUCUAUGGAUUUUAAUGGAUUGUAUGGGAUUUUCAUUUUGUGUGUAUUUUUGAUAAAAUGUCGCAGAGUUGAUAGGAUUUAGGUACAAUGCUUCAAAAUCCCAUUGAUUUUGGUGGGAUUUCAAAAAACUUAAAAUACACUGAAGAAUGCUACAAAAUCCAUUAUUUUAUGAAAUAAUAAAAAAUCCAUCAGCAUUUGAAUACCAUCAGAUUUUAAUGGAUUUUAAACAAUCCCAAUUGAAUACCAUCGGAUUUUAAAGCAUAAUUUAAAAUCCAAUUGAAUACCACCAGAUUUUGUAGCAUAAUUCAAAAUCCCAAUUGAAUACCUCAAAAUUUUAAUGCAUUUCAAACAAUUCUAAUCGAAUACUCUCGGAUUUCAUGAAUGCAAAAAAAUGCUUUAAAAUCUCAAUCCAAUACAUCCCUCCUAAAGCUGGGUUUAAAGAUGAAAAAUAUAUGUUUGUAAAAGCAAAAAUAAGUUAGAAACGGUUAUUUAAAUUUGACUUUGUUAAAUCACUAAAUUUUGAAAAGUCUUUUUUUGUAUUUCUGAACAAAUUUAAAAAUAUUUAUUUUAAUAUAUUAUAUUUCAUAAUUCUCUUCAAAUUAAAAGGGAUAAUAUAAAUUUUGUAUAUUUGUUUACGGAACAUGAUGCGACAUGUGUGACAUACUUGAUGUAUGACGUGUUACAUGGGCGAUGGGCUGCAUAAAUUUUUGUUUGGGCCUCGUCUAAAUCAAAACGGACUAAAUCUUCGUUUUUCUAUAAUUCGGAAAUUCAUUAAGAGCCAUAGUUCAAUACAAAGCAACGACACCAUAUCCACCUAGUAGUCUAGUACCAGUGCGGAAGGCCACUUACAAAAGACCCCUGCCUAAAUACAAAAGACUGGACAAUUUCCAUUGGCUAGAAACAAAAUGCAGUGAGAAAAGAGAACUGCAUAACCUGAACUUAACUAGCUAGAAUUGAACUGAUACUAAGAACUAGGAUUUGUUGCCCAUGCUAGAAUUGAACUGAUACUAAGAACUAGGAUUUGUUGCCCGCUUCGCAUGGUUGCCUCUGAUAAUUUUAUUUUCUUAUAUUAAUUACAUGAAAAAGAGAUGUAUAUUACAACAAAGGGUCUUUUUUAUGGUAAGCAAUGGCGAUGCAGUUUUGACUUUAAUGUUUGUCGUAACAAAUGUAUUCACUCUCAUAUUUAAUCUAUUGUGUAGUUCGAUACUAUUUGUUAUCAUAAUGAUCCGAAUAUAAUGUUAAAUUAAAUUUGAAUAAAAUAUGAUCGGCUAUACUUAUAUACUCGUUGAAUAUGAUCAAUGGUACAAAAUACUUGAUUAUAUAUAUCGAAUUAUUAUUAUUAUUUAUAUAAAUUUGUACAAUAAUAUUUUAUGAAAAUAUUAUCUUACAAUUAUGAAUAUGAUAUAAUUUCCAAAAUUAAAAAUUCAAUAUAAAUAUCUUCGUGUAACGUAAUACAUUUCGUGUAACAUAAUACAGUAUUCAUAAUAUACAUAAUUUGACAUGUACUAAACUUAUAUAAAAUAUAAUAGUGAAUUAUUUGUAAAAUAUAUUACAAUGAUAUUUGUAAAAUAAGAAUUUAUUCAGCUGUUAAAUAUAAUUUUUAUUUAAUAAUAUUAUUCUAUUAUAAUUUUAUUUUCAAAAUAAAAUUAGUUGAAUUUAAAAUACAUACAGUAAAAUAAGAAAUAUUAUAACCGGCCACGGGUAAUAAGCUAGUAUUAAUAAUACUGAUAAAAAUAAAUUUUACUUAUAAAUAACUUUUACGGAUAAUAGUAAAUAUUUUUUAAAUUAAAUCAUUUUACAAACCUAAAUCAUUUGCAAAUCAUUUUACAGUUCACGUGCAGUGUAAACAUGGCUGUGUCUCACUUUUUCAACAAACCUGUAAGAAAGAAAGGAAUGAACGGAGGAGCUGACACGUGCAGUAUACGGUAUUCAUUAGUACAGCAGUGGCAAGCUUUGUAAAUACGGCCCCAUUCAGGAGGACCUAUUAGUAAUUAACCUGUUAAAAAGCCUUCAGGCUUUAUAUACUACGGUGAUACAUUAUUAAUUGAAUUUAUGCACUGUACCCUAGUUUUUUCUUAGAAUGGAAACUUCGGCAAUGUCAAGAGGAAGAGCUGUGAUGGUUAUCAGCAAGAGAGGUUGCAGUAAACCACUCAGGGGAAAUAGUGAAUAAUUCUUGUCUAUAAAAUUGUAUAUACAAAAAGUACUAAGGUUUACAUUAAACAACUUAUAAAAUUAAAAAUGGGAUAUCAGGACACUCUUCGAACUUUUAAACUAUACUGGAUUACUAGAAAAAAUCCCAUCAGGUGAACACAACAAUUCUGCAGAUAACUACCACUCCAGUAGGACGAGUACCAGAGCCUCUCAUGCAAAGCUGACCCAAACAAAAAGGUUCGAGACUCGGGCUGAAAAUUCAUUUAGACUUGCAAACUUCAGAGACGAGCUCAAAUUCUUCAUUAAAGAUGUUUAUGAAUCCAUUUUACUAACCUAACCGUCAAUUUAAAUCACCCUUAUAUUCCUUUUUUAACUUUGUCAGUUUUAUUCAAAAUUAGAAGAAAAUAAAUAAAUGAUUCGUUAAAUAUGUUUUAUCCAAUACACCUUUUUAACUUUGUUAGUUAUAUUCAAAAUUAGAAGAAAAUAAAUAAAUGAUUCGUUAAAUAUGUUUUAUCCAAUACACAUCUUGUUCUGCUAGCUUAGCGAUCACAUUUAAAGAAUAAAAAUUACUGCAUAUGACUCGUGCAACAGAUUAUCAAACUGACUUGUGCACAAAAUCAGAGCACAUAUUAACUGUUCCAGGUUAUAGGCAAAUAACCUUUGAGCCUUGGUUGCAAGGUACGACUUGUGUUUCGGACAGAAUGAGCAUCUUCUGGCAGAUAUAUAUCAAGCUUCGUGAUUUGAUCUUCUAGUGCACAUCAAGCUUUGUCUAGCAUCUUCAUUAGCAAAUCUCUUCAUUCUUCCUAUCUGUAAGAUUCCUCCACCAGCCAUAACCCAAAAUUUAAUAUUAAGAUAUCAUACUUAUUGUAAUCAAAAUAUCUUCUGCCUAUGUAAUUAAAAUAGGAAAAAUAUCAACGAUAGAAGUUACAAGCAAAAGGUCAAAAGCUUCCGGCAAUGGCAAACAGAAAUAUAAAGAACAAAAUUCAGACAUGCGUGCAUCAUCAAGAUUCUGUAUGUUCUCAACAUAAUGCAUCUACAAAUUAGUCCGUCCCUAUUUACUUGUCACUUUGACUUUUUCACGUAACUUAAGGUGAUUAAAAAACAUAAUUCCGCUCAUUAUUUUUAAAAUUUUCCUUUUGUGAAUGAAAAUAUAAACUAUAAACUUUAAUUCAGAAAAAGAAAAUUUUAAAAAUAAUAAGUAGAAGUAUGUUUUUUAAUCAACUUAAAUUACGUGCAAAAAGUCAGAGUGACAAGUAAAAAGGGACGGAGGACGGAGGUAGUACUUAAAUCCACACAACACAAGCCACAGGGAGCUGAAUGGGAGAGAAACAAGUUCUUACUUUAUAAGGAAUCUGAGGGAUAAAUUACUUGUCCCGCAUUUAACGUUCUUGAAUUAUAAAACCUAUAUAUAAAUUGCCCCAUAUCUUAGAAACGUGACUAACCUCAACAAACCAUUGAUUCUCACAGCAGUCGCAACUAAAACUUCACUGGCAGUGUUGGUCUUAUUUUGGGCCAUCAACCUGCAUUUCCAAUCCUAUAUCAAACAAAGAUACAGCAGAAUUACAUUUGUAUCCCGACAACACAAUUUCUUAAUUACCUUUAUAUCACAGAUUUACGGCAGGUUAAU